rnacentral:rRNA from 1 species
AGCCAAUAGAUACCCAGGUAGUCCCAGCCGUAAACGAUGGAUACUAGGUGUUGGGGGUAUCGACCCCUCCAGUGCCGCAGCUAAACGCAUUAAGUAUCCCGCCUGGGGAGUACGGCCGCAAGGUUGAAACUCAAAGGAAUUGACGGGGGCCCGCACAAGCGGUGGAGCAUGUUGUUUAAAUACGUCACUAACCGUAGAACCUUACCAGGGCUUGACAUCGCUGGACCGCCGGUGAAAGCCGGUUUUCCCCGCAAGGGGACCAGAUGACAGGUGUUGCAUGGCUGUCGUCAGUUCGUGUCGUGAGAUGUUGGGUUAAGUCCCGCAACGAGCGCAACCCUCACCCCAUGUUGCCAGCGGGGUCAAGCCGGGGAACUCUUGGGGAACUGCCUGGGUAACCGGGAGGAAGGUGAGGAUGACGUCAAGUCAGCAUGGCCCUUACGCCCUGGGCUACAAACAUGCUACAAUGGACGGUAGACAGAGGGAUCCGAGCCCGCGAGGUGGAGGCAAUCUCAAAAUCCGUUCCCAGUUCAGAUCGCAGGCUGCAACUCGCCUGC